rnacentral:rRNA from 1 species
UACGUAGGGUGCGAGCGUUGUCCGGAAUUAUUGGGCGUAAAGGGCUCGUAGGCGGUUUGUCGCGUCGGGAGUGAAAUCCACUGGCUUAACUGGUGGCUUGCUUUCGAUACGGGCAGACUGGAGGUAUGCAGGGGAGAACGAAUUCCUGGUGUAGCGGUGAAAUGCGCAGAUAUCAGGAGGAACACCGGUGGCGAAGGCGGUUCUCUGGGCAUGUCCUGACGCUGAGGAGCGAAGA